UACGUAGGGUGCAAGCGUUAAUCGGAAUUACUGGGCGUAAAGCGUACGCAGGCGGUUUUGUAAGCCAGAUGUGAAAGCCCCGGGCUUAACCUGGGAAUGGCAUUUGGGACUGCAAGGCUUGAGUGCGGCAGAGGAGACUGGAAUUCCUGGUGUAGCAGUGAAAUGCGUAGAUAUGACAUAGAACACCAAUUGCGAAGGCAGCUUACUACACAGUUAUUGACACUGAGGCACGAAAGCGUGGGGAUCAAACAGG
rnacentral:rRNA from 1 species